AUCCNGAAUAGCCAGGACUAUUGUCUUAGUU
rnacentral:piRNA from 1 species